UACAGAGGUCUCGAGCGUUAUGCGGAAUCACUGGGCUUAAAGCGUGUGUAGGCGGGUCGUUAAGUGCCUUGUGAAAUCCCAUGGCUCAACCAUGGAACUGCUGGGCAUACUGGCGAUCUUGUGCCACCUAGGGGCGAGCGGAACAGAUGGUGGAGCGGUGAAAUGCGUAGAUAUCAGCUGGAACGCCAAUGGUGAAAACAGCUCGCUGGGGGUGUGCAGACGCUGAGACACGAAAGCCAGGGGAGCGAACGGG
rnacentral:rRNA from 1 species